rnacentral:rRNA from 1 species
AUAGCCGAGUUGAGAGACUGAUCGGCCACAUUGGGACGUGAGACACGGCCCAAACUCCUACCGGGAGGGCAGCAGUAGGGGAAUCUUCCACAAUGGACGCAAGUCUGAUGGAGCAACGCCGCGUGAGUGAAGAAGGGUUUCGGCUCGUAAAGCUCUGUUGUUGGUGAAGAAGGACAGGGGUAGUAACUGACCUUUGUUUGACGGUAAUCAAUUAGAAAGUCACGGCUAACUACGUGCCAGCAGCCGCGGUAAU